rnacentral:rRNA from 1 species
GUCUAUGGCCAUGCUACCCUGAACAAGCCCGAUGUCUGAUCUUGGAAGCUAAGCAGGGUUGGGAUUGGUGAGUACUUAGAUGGGAGAACACU